rnacentral:sRNA from 1 species
UCAGGGAGAGGAUUUCCGCAAGAGGAUGCUGAUGCGUCAGGAUGACGAGAAAAGGAUUAUGGCCAGGCUGGCCCGCCCAGGGAAGCGGCGUUAAAAGGGAAAAGGAAAGCAACACGGAGCGUUGCAAGCUUAGGGAAAGACAGGGGUUGUCGAAAAGCUACAGGGACGGGAAAACCGGUGACCGGUAUAGAGUCAAGAAAAAGGGCGACAGGUAAAUAACCUGUCGCCUUUUUUCUUUGCUUGCUU